UCCCCGGCAGUCCAGUGGUUAAGACUCUGCGCUUUCAAUGCAUGGGACGCAGGUUCGAAUCCUGCCCGGGGAA